GCGUUGUUCGGAAUGACUGGGCGUAAAGCGCGCGUAGGCGGAUCAGGCCGUUGGGGGUGAAAUCCCGGGGCUCAACCCCGGAAUGGCCUUCAAAACUCCUGGUCUUGAGUUCGAGAGAGGUGAGUGGAAUUCCGAGUGUAGAGGUGAAAUUCGUAGAUAUUCGGAGGAACACCAGUGGCGAAGGCGGCGCACUGGCUCGACACUGACGCUGAGGUGCGAAAGCGUGGGGAGCAAACAGG
rnacentral:rRNA from 1 species